rnacentral:rRNA from 1 species
UACGAAGGGGGCUAGCGUUGCUCGGAAUCACUGGGCGUAAAGGGUGCGUAGGCGGGUCUUUAAGUCAGGGGUGAAAUCCUGGAGCUCAACUCCAGAACUGCCUUUGAUACUGAAGAUCUUGAGUUCGGGAGAGGUGAGUGGAACUGCGAGUGUAGAGGUGAAAUUCGUAGAUAUUCGCAAGAACACCAGUGGCGAAGGCGGCGCACUGGACCACAACUGACGCUGAGGCGCGAAAGCUAGGGGAGCAAACAGG